AUUGAACGCUGGCGGCAGGCCUAACACAUGCAAGUCGAGCGGUAGAGAGGUGCUUGCACCUCUUGAGAGCGGCGGACGGGUGAGUAAUGCCUAGGAAUCUGCCUGAUAGUGGGGGGUAACGCUCGGAAACGGACGCUAAUACCGCAUACGUCCUACGGGAGAAAGCAGGGGACCUUCGGGCCUUGCGCUAUCAGAUGAGCCUAGGUCGGAUUAGCUAGUUGGUGAGGUAAUGGCUCACCAAGGCGACGAUCCGUAACUGGUCUGAGAGGAUGAUCAGUCACACUGGAACUGAGACACGGUCCAGACUCCUACGGGAGGCAGCAGUGGGGAAUAUUGGACAAUGGGCGAAAGCCUGAUCCAGCCAUGCCGCGUGUGUGAAGAAGGUCUUCGGAUUGUAAAGCACUUUAAGUUGGGAGGAAGGGUCGUUACCUAUUACGUGACGAUUUUGACGUUACCGACAGAAUAAGCACCGGCUAACUCUGUGCCAGCCGCCGCCGUAACAC
rnacentral:rRNA from 1 species